rnacentral:rRNA from 1 species
AUUGAACGCUGGCGGCAGGCCUAACACAUGCAAGUCGAGCGGGGUUUUCGGACCUAGCGGCGGACGGGUGAGUAAUGCGUAGGAAGCUGCCCGAUAGAGGGGGAUACCAGUUGGAAACGACUGUUAAUACCGCAUAAUGUCUACGGACCAAAGUGUGGGACCUUCGGGCCACAUGCUAUCGGAUGCGCCUACGUGGGAUUAGCUAGUUGGUGAGGUAAUGGCUCACCAAGGCGACGAUCUCUAGCUGGUUUGAGAGGACGAUCAGCCACACUGGAACUGAGACACGGUCCAGACUCCUACGGGAGGCAGCAGUGGGGAAUAUUGGACAAUGGGCGCAAGCCUGAUCCAGCCAUGCCGCGUGUGUGAAGAAGGCCUUCGGGUUGUAAAGCACUUUCAGCGAGGAGGAAGGGUGGUGUGUUAAUAGCACAUCAUUUUGACGUUACUCGCAGAAGAAGCACCGGCUAACUCUGUGCCAGCAGCCGCCGCCG